rnacentral:lncRNA from 1 species
AGUCAGAACAAGGAAGGUGCCCGGGAAGACCACGUGGCAAAGGACAUCAAGGAGGUGUGACAGUCAGAAGACUAACAGUGAGGUGACUUUCAGAGGGUCCAAUAAACUCGGAUAAAUACGAAAUGGUUCCUGUGGAAACUAUAGGGAAGGGUUCCACUUCCAGAGAUGAAUGGCUACGUCAGUCAUGAAAGAUGGAGCGUUGACUUCUUCCUUAUGCAGAAGUCACAGGGCUUUAAGGCCAAGUUCAAGCACAGGCACUGGCAGAGUUUCCUCUCUGGACCUCUUCUGGAGAGAAGGUGAAGAAUAGGAAGAAGGAGGAGGAGGAGGAGGAAAAGAGAAGGAGAAGGAGAAGGAGAAGGAGAAGGAGAAGGAGAAGGAGAAGGAGAAGGAGAAGGAGAAGGAGAAGGAGAAGGAGAAGGAGAAGGAGAAGGAGAAGGAGAGAUCACAUAACAUUAUUCCUUCUCAUAGCAUGAAAGCCUCAGCUGGACAAACAGCAGAGAAAUCUUCAGAGAGCAUAGGCUGGACAAUGAUGACCUUGGCUAAAACCAGCCUCUGCUUUGUUUCUCAAGGUUUGUAAGUUUUUGUUUUGUUUUGUUUUGUUUUGUUUGUGUGUUUAUCUGGUCCUUUAAAAGAAUUUGUCUCACUUGCUGGAUUAAAAUGGGCUAAAAUAGGAAAACUCUACAGGAGACGAGACUCUCCAAAGGUGCAUAUCAACUCCAGCUGUGGCCUUCCAGCUCAAGCACAGUCGUUGUGCAGACAACAGGUUCCAAAACUAAGAAUUUCAGACUAGUUGAAUGAACAACAACCUUGUUACAAAGUGGUGUUAAUAUGGCCCCCCAGGUCUGGGCUUUGUACCAUGCCAGCUGCCUUCUUGACUCAAGGGGCCCUCCAGCCUCCUGAAGGGCCUGUGGGAGAGUGUGACGUUCUCUCAGAGGCAGAGAAGAAUCCAGGUAGCCUUUUUAGGUUCACCUUUAUGGACAUGCCCCUCCUGCAUGCAGCAGCUGCAAAGACCCAAUGCCUGGCCUGGUCACUUCCAUUCCUAGGCAUCUAUCCAGCAAACUGAACCCUCUGGGUCAUGAAUUUGUCACUUCAGGCAAAGGUACAAAGAAGAGGUAUUCAUCUGUGGCCUAGCAGACAGGUGGUGGUGUGUGGAAACAAAAGAUCCACCUAAACUAUUACUGGUUUCCUCACUGGGUCAGAAAGAUGAUGGCUGAGAAAGCUUACCCAGGUGCCACCUGGGUACCUGGCUGUUUCUGAGCCAAAGGGAUGCCUGUCUAAGACACACAUGCUCCAAGACUGCUGAGAGAUUCCUAUUCUUUCUGUCCUUCACAUCCCAUUAAUCACAAUAAAAUCUGUAUUUAAAAACCCAA